rnacentral:rRNA from 1 species
GAGUAGCGGCGAGCGAAACGGGAAGAGCCCAAACCAAUAAGCUUGCUUAUUGGGGUUGUAGGACACUCUAUACGGAGUUACAAAGGAAUAUAUUAAACGAAUCAUCUGGAAAGUUGAAUCAAAGAAGGUAAUAAUCCUGUAGUUGAAAAUAUAUUCUCUCUUGAGUGGAUCCUGAGUACGACGGAGCACGUGAAAUUCCGUCGGAAUCUGGGAGGACCAUCUCCUAAGGCUAAAUACUCUCUAGUGACCGAUAGUGAACCAGUACCGUGA